UAAUGUUUGAUGUUCUAACGUGGACCCGUAAUCCGGGUUGCGGACAGUGUCUGGUGGGUAGUUUGACUGGGGCGGUCUCCUCCUAAAGAGUAACGGAGGAGCACGAAGGUUGGCUAAUCCUGGUCGGACAUCAGGAGGUUAGUGCAAUGGCAUAAGCCAGCUUGACUGCGAGCGUGACGGCGCGAGCAGGUGCGAAAGCAGGUCAUAGUGAUCCGGUGGUUCUGAAUGGAAGGGCCAUCGCUCAACGGAUAAAAGGUACUCCGGGGAUAACAGGCUGAUACCGCCCAAGAGUUCAUAUCGACGGCGGUGUUUGGCACCUCGAUGUCGGCUCAUCACAUCCUGGGGCUGAAGUAGGUCCCAAGGGUAUGGCUGUUCGCCAUUUAAAGUGGUACGCGAGCUGGGUUUAGAACGUCGUGAGACAGUUCGGUCCCUAUCUGCCGUGGGCGCUGGAGAACUGAGGGGGGCUGCUCCUAGUACGAGAGGACCGGAGUGGACGCAUCACUGGUGUUCGGGUUGUCAUGCCAAUGGCACUGCCCGGUAGCUAAAUGCGGAAGAGAUAAGUGCUGAAAGCAUCUAAGCACGAAACUUGCCCCGAG
rnacentral:rRNA from 1 species